UUUGUAUGUCCAGUUAACAGCUCGCAGCGGAGGGAAAGUGUACAUAGACACAUGCCACAGUCCUGGCUAGGCUACUAAAAUGUUGCAGUCUGGCUUCGGUUUUUAAACUUGACAAUGAAUCAAAACAGAAAAAACGAGACAUGAAUGGGAGGGGGACAGAACCCCUCUAAUGAAAGUCAAGAAGGACCAAUGUUUGGCGGGCUCAUUUGCAGAAUCCAAAGUGUCAGCAUUGUGUAUCCUACUUUUGUGUCAAAUAGUUAUGAAGAAAUUGUGGUCAGUUAACAAAUACUAUGUCUUGUUUGAUUUUUUGGGCCCGGUUCUAGCCAAGGCCAAUGUAAAUAUGCAUGUAUUUUUUGCUAAUAAAGUCUUACAAUUGGUAACAUUUUUAGCUGAAUGCGCAUGCAUUUAGAUGUUAUUGCGUGUUGUAUAUUUUCAGUCACACUGUUGCAUGAAAGGAGAUCCAUGAAGUUAACAUCGACAGCAUCUCUAAGCCUGAGUUCCUGUCGAGUAAACCUAAGGAGGGCUCACCUAGGGAACUCGGCACUCACAAUUCCAUUUUAGUUCAGGAACUGAAUGGCCAUUCUUAUGGGGAAAUCAAAUGUCUCAUUCAACUGAAUUGAGAUUAAAUUAAUCUGUAACUCUUGACUUGCUCUGGCUAUUCCCAGUACUGAAUGGGGCAGUGCAUUUCCUCAAAAUCAAGGUGGUCCCUGACAGUUGGAAGAUGGACAUGAACGAGAUAUUAGAAUCGUCCAGCAGCGACGAGGAGGACACGGAAGGAAAGUGAGUGAAGAGGAGAAGGAGGUGCUAAGGGUGGUCACACCAUUGUGGUGUCCUACCUCCUCAACUAACCCAACAACAUCCUGUCGGUCCCCGCGCAGGACCUAUCCCCUCCCAUGACACCUCUCAGGUAGGGACCGCUAGUUACUAACAGACAAAUAACUACUGUACUUCUACAAACAUGUUUGUUUAUUUGUCUGGAUGGAGUUGUAUUGACACCAAGUUGAUACCAAAUAUUGAUACCAACUAUACUUUUGUAAUAUCUCCUUACAUCUUAUGAGUUCCAAGCUCUGGCCAUUGUGGAGCCAGACAGAGUCUCUUCUAACAUUACAACACCUGCACCCGUCAUCACAAAAGGUGGCUCCAAGCAGAGGCAGUGCCCCCUACAGGAUAACCCUGUCAUUGCAGACAGUCCCUUCCACCCGUACCAGCCCUUGGAGUCCAUUGUGAAAGAGACAGAGUGCAAGCUGAUCUCCAGCCAUAGAGAAGUCCCAGCUGCAGAAUAAGAUGAUCCUCAAGGAGCAGUAAACUAAAGAGUAAAUGAAGGCCGAAGGCCUGAACGAUGACCCGGGCAGCCCCUUCGCACUUUGGCCUCCCAGCAGUCCAGACUUUAGUACAGCAGACUACCCCGACACCUCCAGCCCUGACCUGCUGAUGCUGAUGGUGAGUCAGCAGUAGAUGUUGGGGCAGCAGUUGACAGGCCUGGGACCGGCCUUCUCACCCAGGCCCCCGACGGACUACUAGUGGCCUUCCCCCUACAGAUCGUCACAGAUACGCCGGUUGACAUCAUGGCAGAUACAGUGCCUUCCAAAAGUAUUCACACCCUUUUCAGCACAUUUUGUUGUGUUACAAAGUGGGAUACAAAUUGAUUUAAUUGUACUUUUUUGUCAACGACUCUAACACUUGUAGAAUUCUAACACUUGUAAAAAAAUAUAUACAUUUUUAAAAGGAAAAUAAAACACUUGAUUAGAUAAGUAUUCAACCCCCUGAGUUAAUACACCCUUUGCAGCGUUUACAUCAGUGAGUCUUUCUGGGUAAGUCUCGCUAAGAGCUUUCUGUACCUGAAUUGUACAAUAUUUGCCCAUUAUUCUUUUUUAAAUUCUUCAAGUUGGCUGUUGAUCAUUGCUAGAUAGCCAUUUUCAAGCCUUGCCAUAGAUUUUCAAGCCGAUUUCUAGGCAAAACCACUCAGGAACAUUCAAUGUCGUUUUGGUAAGCAACUCCAGUGUAUAUUUGGCCUUGUUUUUUAGGAUUUUGUCCUGCUGAAAGGUGUCUGUUGGAAAGCAAACUGAACCAAGUUUUCCACUAAGAUGUUGCCUAUGCUUAGCUCUAUUCUGUUUAUUCUUAUCCGAUGACAAUACCCAAAAAAUGAUACAGCCACCACCAUGCUUAAAAAUAUGAAGAAUGGUACUUAGUGAUGUGUUGUGUUGGAUUUUCCCCAAUCAUAACGCUUUGUAUUCAGGACACAUGUUUUGCAGUAUUACUUUAGUGCCUUGUUGCAAACAGGAUGCAUGUUUGGGAAUAUUUGUAUCAUGUACAGGCUUCCUUCUUUUCACUCUGUCAUUUAAGUUAGUAUUGUGGAGUAACUACAAUGUUGUUGAUCCAUCCUCAGUUUUAUCCUAUCACACAGCCAUUAAACUUUGCAACUGUUUUAUAAUCACCA